rnacentral:ncRNA from 1 species
AAAAGGUUUUAUUUUGGCUUAUUAGUUAGGUAAAGUUCUGAUUUACAUGUAAGUCUUAGUGAAAAUUCUAAUAUUAAUUUUAAAAGUUAAUAUAAAAAUUUUGAUCGCAGUAAAAAAUAUUAAAAAUUAAGGUAACUUAGAUUUAGCAAUAAUAUUAAAUAUUAACAAAAUUUGUGCCAGCAGUUGCGGUUAUACAAAUAAUAUAAUUUAAUUAUUUUGGUGAAAGUUAAUUUUAUUAGUAAAAUUAUUAAAUUUAAAUUUAUUAAGUGAAAUUUUAAAUUUAAUUUAAAAUUUAUUAUUUGUUAAUGAAGCUUGGAAAUUUAAUUUAUAAACUAGGAUUAGAUACCCUAUUAUUUUAAAUGUAAAUUUUAUAUACUGAAUUAGUAUUAGUUAUGUUCUUGAAAAUUAAAAAAUUUGGCGGUAUUUUAGUCUUUUCAGAGGAACCUGUCCUGUAAUCGAUAGUCCACGAUAUAGGGUACUUUAUUUAUUAGUUUACAUAUCGUCGUAGAUAGAAUAUUUUAAAAGAAUAAUAAUAUUCUAGAUUUUUAAUUAAAAAAUAAAUCAGAUCAAGGUGUAGUUUAUAAUAAAGGAGAGAUGGGUUACAUUAAAUUUAUUUAAGGAUAAUUUUUAGGAUAAAAAUUUGAAUGUGGAUUUGAAAGUAAUUUUAUUAAAUUAAGUAAGAUGAUUUUAGCUCUAAAAUAUGCACAUAUCGCCCGUCACUUUCACUUUAAAGUGAAAUAAGUCGUAACAAAGUAGGCUUACUGGAAAGUGAGCCUAGAAAGAC